GGCAUAUCCACAAACACAAAUCAAUGCCAGCAGAUGUGAAUGCCACACACUAUUGUACCUUUGGUGAUGAAAAAGAUGCCUCAUCUAUCCACCCAUGCGCUGCCUCCUCUUGUUACCCUGAAACAUCAACAAUCCUCUCUGGGAAAUCAGCCAACCAGGUGAGUGGAUUCGUCAGGAGAGUGACAAUUGGUUGCUGAGAUGGGGCAGAUCCUUUAUCUCAGUGGGACUUCCUGGAUUAAUUGAGACCAGUUAAGUGGAACAGAAGAGCGGAACAUCGCGGGGAGUUGAAGAUAGCAGAGUUAGAGGAUGGUGCUGAUACAAGAGCGUGUGGUUUAUGUAGAGGCAAUGAGAUGUCAUGUUUCAGCAGUUCUCAAAGAGAGGUCCUUGAAGGGGUACAGGACAAGGCAUAGUUAACUUUUAAGAAAACAAUAAUUAAUUAAAACGCUUUGUAUUAUU